UAAAUUGUCCACUUUAGCUAAUGCAAUCACGUUGAAGAGGCUUAUAAGGAAGGGUAUACCUCCUGUGCUCAGGCCUAAAGUUUGGUUUUCUCUAUCUGGAGCUGCAAAAAAGAAAUCUACGGUUCCUGAGAGUUAUUACAAUGAUUUGACCAAGGCUGUUGAAGGGAAGGUUACACCAGCUACAAGACAGAUUGAUCAUGUGAGUGUAUUUGUAUUUCUUUUGGAUUACAUUGUUUUGGUGGUUUUGGUAAUUUUUUGAAUUCAUUGUUUUGUUUUGAUAAUUUAUAGUCUUAGAUGUGAUUUUGGUGCAUUUCCUUAUAUGGAUUACAGUCUGUAUACGUUUCUUUUUAUUCUGCUUCUAUGUAUGUGGUUGAAGAGCUAUACCAUAGAUUUGAUGGUUGUAAAGUUUGAUCGAUCAUAUUAAAGGUACAUCGGCUUAGUUUGAAUUGCAAUAAAGAUUAUUUUCUGAAAUUGGUGGUUUAUUCUGAUUGAGUUUGGUGGUUCUAGAUUAUUUGUUGCUUUAUUAGGGGUUAACAAUUGUUUAAAGACAUGGUGUUUGCUGUUGUGUAUAUUAAUAACAAUUUAUAUUUAUAGUAGAUGAAAUUAAAUGAAGAACUUUGCAUCUAUGUAAUUUGAUAUUGGUACUAGAGAUUUUACCUUGCUUUCUCUUUGCAUUGAGAUUUAGAGGUUAAUCAAAUUAAAGAAUUGUUUAUGAUUAAGCUGAUAUUUUUAGGAGGAUGAAAAUUUAUGGAGCAUUCACCGGUAUUGUUAACUGAGUACCUCUGCAAAUAAAAGAUCUGUCAUUAUCAUUUUCCUUUUUCAUUUCCAUUUUUCUAUAUAGGACUUAUUAGGUUGUUGUAUACACUCCUUUUUAUUGUCUUUUUCUCUUAUUCAAGGAAUUACUCUUCUGUCUGAGCUCAUUGAAUUGCAGAAAGGAAGAACCGUUUUGAGUGUCCCUUUUCGUCUUCUUUCUUCUAGUUAUGAAUGAGGAGAAUAAUUAAAGUAGCACUGGAGUAAAAGAAAGUGAAAAUUUGUUUACAAGAGAGGUUUCCAAAAAAUCUGUGACAAUGAAAACGUGAUAAAAAGUGUGAUUACACUGAUAAAGUGAAGUAUGCUAGUCUGAAAGCCUAGAACAUAGAGAGGCUUUCCUGUCCCUUGAACACCCUCUUUAUUUUUGCCGCCUCCUAGCUAACAAUAAAACAGAAUGAGGAACCUAUAUCAGUGCGUGUGCUUCUUAAAUUGCAUAGCUAUAUAAGGGUUCAAGUUUCAAUCUAUAUUUGCAGAGUUGAUGUUCUUAUAAUAUGGUUGAUUAUUAAUGUUUCUAUGGUUGUUAGUAGUUAUAUUUCAGAAGGAUGAAAAAUGUUACAAAAUGCUGGUUAGUAAGUAGGAUUAUAAUUGAGGAAGUGAAAUAAUGGGUUAGAUUUUGUAGAGUGGAUAAUUAAUCAUUGUUUUGUUUGUUGUGAUGUAUUUUAUCUUGUUUGCUUAUUAAAAAGAUUCUGUUUUCUUUCCAACUAAUUCCCUUCUAUAUGAAUAAUCUAAUUCCAGAUUAUGUUUUUCUUUACAAGUUAUGUUAACUCUUUCUAUGUAUAUGCGUGCAGGAUCUUCCACGAACCUUUCCUGGUCACCCCUGGUUGGACACACCGGAGGGUCAUGCAGCCCUCCGACGUGUCCUUGUUGGAUAUUCUUUCCGUGAUUCUGAUGUUGGCUACUGUCAGG
rnacentral:lncRNA from 1 species